UAAGGAAUAUUGGUCAAUGGACGCAAGUCUGAACCAGCCAUGCCGCGUGGAGGAUUAAGGCCCUCUGGGUUGUAAACUCCUUUUAUCUGGGAAGAAAUGUACUUUUUCUUGAGUACUUGACGGUACCAGAGGAAUAAGCACCGGCUAACUCCGUGCCAGCAGCCGCGGUAAUACGGAGGGUGCAAGCGUUAUCAGGAUUCACUGGGUUUAAAGGGUGCGUAGGUGGGCAGGUAAGUCAGUGGUGAAAUCUCCGGGCUUAACCCGGAAACGUCCGUUGAUACUAUUGGUCGUGAAUAUUGUGGAGGUCAGCGGAAUAGGUCAUGUAGCGGUGAAAUGCUUAGAUAUGACAUAGAACACCAAUUGCGAAGGCAGCUUACUACACAAUCAUUGACGCUGAGGCACGAAAGCG
rnacentral:rRNA from 1 species